rnacentral:lncRNA from 1 species
UGGCGAACUUGGGCUGCAGGGACGUCCCGGGCCCGGAUGAGGACAUUUUUCUGUACUUCGCCUACGGUAGCAACCGGCUGACGAGAGUAUCCACCUCCGAAACCCCUCGGCGGCGGGCUUCUGUGUGGCCCGCAUGCAGAUCCAGACCGUCCUGGCCAACAUGGUGAAACCCCGUCUCUACUAAAAAUACAAAACAGCUGGGCGUCGUGGCGGGCGCCUGUAGUCCCAGCCACCCAGGAGGCUGAGGCAGGAGAAUUGCUUGAACCCGGAAGGCGGAGCUUGCAGUGAGCCGAGAUUGCGCCACUGCACUCCAGCCUGGCGACAGAGCGAGACUCCGUCUCAAAAAAGAAAAAAAAAAAAAAGGAACAUAUGUUGUAAUAGAAGUUAAAGUUUCAACUCAAGAAGGAAGAGAAAUAACCUGUCAAAGAUAUCUGAUGACAAAUUACGAAAGUGCUCCUCCGUCUUCACAGUAUAAAAAGAUUAUUUGCAUGGGUGCAAAAAUAAAAAUGGUUUGCCGCUGGAGUAUCAAGAGAAGUUAAAAGCAAUAGAACCAAAUGACUAUACAGGAAAGGUCUCAGAAGAAAUUGAAGACAUCAUCAAAAAGGGAGAAACACAAACUCUUUAGAACAUAACAGAAUAUAUCUAAGGAUAUUCUAUGUGCUAAUAUAAAAUAUUUUUUAACACUUGAGAACAGGGAUCUGGAGGAUCUCCAUGUUUGAUCCAUUUUCAACAGUGCUCUGAAGGAAUAUCGCACUUGGCAUGUACAGACAGAACUCAUGAUUUUAUGGAUACGGGCAGACUAUCUCUGGAAGGAUACAGA